GGGAACUAGGACCUGUGCAGUCUGAGUGGCACUGACCUAAGGGCCGUGUUGGCUUCUGGUAUCUGAUCUUUCCGAGGUCUCCUUCUACUGACCAGGGAUCUGUUAUUGGACGUUCCUUCCUGAAAGAGCCCAAAUUUGCCCUGAGGCAUCAGAUGGAGUACUCAGAUUGUCCAAUGUGUCUCCUAAUUGAAGUGAACAUCGCCACAAUAUUUGCCGACUGGAAAUAAACAGCCCCAGCGAAGUAGCAGGUGCGAUCUCAUGAAUUGAGUCGGCAUGAACAUUAACAUUUGGGUCUGACGGAGUGAGAACCGUUUGUUGAGCAUGAGCACGACGGGCAGGAUGUUUCACCGCUACAAACUCUAGCCCCUUCCCUUCCAGGACACAAUGGCAAAUAGAAACAGUCACUCGCCCAGUGUCACAAGAAUCCAGCAGCAUUCUUCCCUGACCUCCGGAAAGAUAAUGUGUCAUUUGCUG